AACGAACGCUGGCGGCAGGCCUAACACAUGCAAGUCGAGCGAGGACUUCGGUUCUAGCGGCGGACGGGUGAGUAACGCGUGGGAAUGUGCCCUUCUCUACGGAAUAGCCCUGGGAAACUGGAGUAAUACCGUAUACGCCCUAUUGGGGAAAGAUUUAUCGGAGAAGGAUCAGCCCGCGUUGGAUUAGGUAGUUGGUGGGGUAAUGGCCUACCAAGCCGACGAUCCAUAGCUGGUUUGAGAGGAUGAUCAGCCACACUGGGACUGAGACACGGCCCAGACUCCUACGGGAGGCAGCAGUGGGGAAUCUUAGACAAUGGGGGCAACCCUGAUCUAGCCAUGCCGCGUGAGUGAUGAAGGCCUUAGGGUUGUAAAGCUCUUUCAGCUGGGAAGAUAAUGACGGUACCAGCAGAAGAAGCCCCGGCUAACUCCGUG
rnacentral:rRNA from 1 species